rnacentral:rRNA from 1 species
GAUGAACGCUGGCGGCGUGCCUAAUACAUGCAAGUCGAGCGAACGGACGAUAAGCUUGCUUCUCUGAUGUUAGCGGCGGACGGGUGAGUAACACGUGGAUAACCUACCUAUAAUUCUGGGAUAACUUCGGGAAACCGGAGAUAAUACCGGAGAAUAUUCUGAACCGCAUGGUUCAAAAGUGAAAGACGGUCUUGCUGUCACUUAUAGAUGCAUCCGCGCUGCAUUAGCUAGUUGGUAAGGUAACGGCUUACCAUGGCAACGAUGCAUAGCCGACCUGAGAGGGUGAUCGGCCACACUGGAACUGAGCCACGGUCCAGACUCCUACGGGAGGCAGCAGUAGGGAAUCUUCCGCAAUGGGCGAAAGCCUGACGGAGCAACGCCGCGUGAGUGAUGAAGGUCUUCGGAUCGUAAAACUCUGUUAUUAGGGAAGAACAUAUGUGUAAGUAACUGUGCACAUCUUGACGGUACCUAAUCAGAAAGCCACGGCUAGCUACGUG